UAUAUCAAGUAUACUAGCCUCCACCGAGCCACUAUUCUCUUGCAUUCCAUUUUGUGCACCAGCAGAGUCCUUUCUCCUUAUGAAGGCAACAUCAUCAGGCCUAAGUUGGGGAAUCAAGAUAAAGAAAUCGAAUCAAUAUCAAUAAUCGUAGGGAAAACCUUCGAACCGAGAUUGAUGAGGGUUUGCACGAAAGAGAUGUAUAAACAGAGACUAUAAUACCGUCUGUCUCCAAUCCAGUAACAAUAUACACAAAGUUCAAGCAAUUGUGCAAACACAUGCGUUCGUGUCUGUAGAGCAGGUAGCUGGCACAUUAAAAAAAAAAAAAAAAGGGAAAGCAGGCACACCAAGAGGUACAAAUAUGACGCUUACAUUACAUGAACCAUCGAACAGAAAGAACAUCAGCAUAAUUUAGAGGCAGCAAAGUAUUAAAAAAUCACUCGUUACUCAGAUUUUAAUAGAAAAAAAGCUUUUUUUCCUUAGACAACCCAGCAUACAAUCGACCUAUAAAACAGUUCUUCCACAGCAAGCAACAAUCCAGGGGGGACUACAACUGCCAUUUCCAUUAUAACCUCACAACGAAUCAUCGACUUCUCGGACCUCCAGUGAAAGCUCUACUCGGUCAAUGAUGCAGAGUAAAACAAAGAAAUUCCAGCACCCCAUCUACGAUAAAAAGAGAACGAGUAACCCGCACCUUAAGUCCUAAACCUUAUGUAACGAACGCAAUCUAGCCCCACACUUCGACUCCAAAGCACAAUUGAGUCCUAAAAUUCUUAAUCAAGCCCUAAAACUCAAACCAAGACGUAGGAAAUCCACUAGCGAACCCACGGCCGACUCCAGACGUUUCAUCCGAAGGACUUCGAUUGCGUUCAUCCGUGGAAAUACGUACAAACCGCAUAGAAUCUAAGCGAGUUCAAACGAUCGCGCGGCUCCAGCACAACAUUCCGGAAACCAAAACGAAGACAGAGCAUCCAUUCGGGACGCCAGCAAACCACCAAAACGAAGGAAUCCGUACCUGAUGAAGGACUUCCCCUUGGGGCUGGUCGUGAUGUUGGGAGACGACGUUGUGGAGGAGGAAGGUGGGAUCGUGGAGUGGGGGUGCGGAGGCCCUCACUGCCGCCGUGGAAGAAGA
rnacentral:lncRNA from 1 species